CAUAAGGUAUUUUGAGUUUUUGUUUGCAACGUUUGACCACUCGUCUUAUUCAAAAAAUUUUGAAAUUAUUAUUUAUUUUAUUUGUGACUUACUUUAUUAUCUACAAUACUUUAAGCACAACUUUUUGUUUUUUAUAUUUGCAAAAAAAAAUGAAUAAGACGAGUGGUUAAACGUUGCAAUCAAAAACACAAAAUCCCUUAUA
rfam:Oryza glaberrima chromosome 11 Oglab11_0092_12, whole genome shotgun sequence.